rnacentral:lncRNA from 1 species
UGUGUAAAGAGGCAAAGAGAUCCAAUGGGACAAGUGGCCAACUCUUUGUUUCUACACUCAUAACCUUAUUUGCUCUGUUGCUCCUAUUCUUCUUCACCUACUUCAUUCACUGGUAUGUUUCUCUCUUCUUUUUCAUUGCUCUAUGAUUCUUUUCUAGGUCCUUGCUUUCAUGAUCUCAACUCUUAAGAAUCUCUAGAACACUAAAUUUACAAACUUUUAUUUGUUGGUUUAAUGGUUGUGGUUUGGAUUUUGUUCAAAGAGAGAGUCUUUAAUUGUAGAAAUUAAUGCUUAAAUUUAACAUAUUUGAAGGAAAUAUUAGCUUGGAUUUCAAGUAGCAAAGUGCAGUUUCACUUCAAGAUAUUGAUCUCAAGUUAUUAUAAACUCUAAGAGACUUAAUAUCUGUUGAUUUCAGGUACAUUUAUGCUUCUUUUUAUGAUAUUCUAUGAAUAUUCUUCUUCAUAUACUAACAAUUAGGUUGAAGUUUAUAUCAUUUAAAUAAUAUUUUUCAGUUUUUUUUCUUUUAAUUAAUUUAUAUGUUUGAUAUGAUAAAAUAAAGCUGCAAAUAAACUAAAAGUUUAUAGAUAUUUCUAAGGGUCAGAGUCGCACGCAUCUCUCGAUCGAACGAUUGAGAUAUAUGUGUGACUUAUAUAAUCUUUUAAUCGAUUUUAUAGAUGUUAGUUUUAAUUUUCUGAUUAAUCGAGUCUAAGAUCAAAUACUAGAAUUUAUUGACACAUCUAUGAAAAACUAAAAAAUUUGGAUGAUCUUAAAAAAAAAAAGUUAUUCUAGUAUUGGUGGAUUGUGGAUUAUGUGUACGGAAAUGUGAUUGACUAAUGUUUUGAAGUUAUUCUUUGAGUCUUGAAGUUAGAUUUAUUCAUAAAAUUAGCCAAUGAGAAAGGAGAGGGAUAUACAUGUUCUAAUAUGAGAGGCUGGAAUUAAAAUAUUGAGUGAAUCACACCCAACGUUUCCUUAUUUGGUAAGUUAUAGGAGAAUGAAAAUCAAACAAUUAAUAGAUAUUUUAAGAGAUUUAUUAACAUGUAGAAAAAAAAUUUACACUCUCAACUAUUUCAAUUAAAUUCAUAUUUUAUAGAUGAUUAAAAUAAAAGUCAUAUUAUUUAUAAUAUUCAACGUCUUAUAUUUACUUAUUAAUUAAUGAUAUAAAAAUUUUUACACUAUCAAUUAUUUCAAUUAAAUUCAUAGAGGUGAAAAUAAACAACAAUGAAUUAUGUUUUUUUUGGAGACUUUGAGUUUAGACUAGAUUACUUAUUUUAAAAAUAGGAAAAUGUUAAUUUCGUCCUAAUAACACAUAUUAAAUAAUUUAAUAUAGAAAUAAUUAUCUAAAAAAUUCUACAUUCAACUUUUAAAAUCAAAAUAGUGUCAUUUUAAAUAAUUGUGGUGAUCUUAGAGUUUUGUAUUAAAAUAUUUAAUCUUGAUAGAAAUGACAAUUCAGAAAUCAACACAAUUUUUAUUAUUUUAAAUAACAUAUCAAAUUAAAAAGCUAAAACAUAAAAUCUUGAUUUGGUGUAGUUGAUUGCAUACAACCCUUGUGCCAAUGUAUUGGGCUCGUUUAUGGUCCAAGCCAAUGAAACAAAUCUUUGGCUUUUGUUUUAGAAAAAUGUUAGCUUUUAUAUGAAAAAUGACAUAUUGUGCUCUUAAGACAAAAGUUAAACAACUCACUAUAGUAAUAUCUUUUUUUUUUAAGUUGGCAUUCAAUUUUUUUUAAAUCAGAAUAUAUAUUUUUUUAUUCUAUUUUUAGUUAUUUUAACUUGUGCAGGAUACAAAUUUGAAAUGCCAUUUUUAUAUUAAGUCUAUUUUAUUAUUACCAACAAUACAUUAUAAAACAUAACACAUCAAAAGAUUAUGAUAGAUUUGUCUAGUCGGUCUCAAGUCUCUUAAAAAAUGAAAGUUAUGUUAGGCAAUUAAAAUUAAUCUAAAAUUUUGUCGAAUCUCUAUGACAUGGAUCAUAUACAUAAUAUUGUAAAUGCUAAGUCGUUGUCCAAUAGCGACAUAUUUUAUGACUCGAGUACAAUGUUAAAUGAGCGAGGGAUACAUAUCGUUAAUUCAUGAGAGUAUGAUUUGUUUUUGAUAUUGGAAUGUAUGUGCACUUACAUGAAAAUAUAUGGAAAUUGUGAAUUAUGGAUUAUGGUUAAAAGGAAUAUCAAUUUUAUGUGCCUAUAAAAAAUUAAGUGAAUAGAUAAAAAUGUGGGAAAAAAUAGACAGUUCAGGAUUUAAGAUUUGGUACAUCAAAAAUGUUAAAUCGAGAAAUGAGGUGAGAACUAUUAUAGACAAUGAGUGAAAGAAAGGUAUUGUAAAUGUAAAAUGGGUAAGGGAUUUGAUCAUAUCCUUAAAAUUUAUAGUGGAACAAGACAUCUUUAAUAUUAUUAGUGUUUAUGCACCUCAAUUUGUAUUAGCGGAACAACUUAAAAUAAAUUUUAGAAGUAAUUAAAUGUCUUAUUUUAGGAUAUAUCUCAAAGAGGAAAUAUUUUCUAGAAGGAGAUCUUAAUGGAUAUGUAGGGAUCUUAUUGAGCAGUUUUAAAGGAGUGGAAGAAUGGUAUGGUCUGAGGAAGGUAAUUGUAUAUGGUAAAUUAAUCCUAGAUUUUUUGUUGGCGGUUGAUCUUAUUAUAGAUAAGACAUGCUUUAAGAAAAGAGAUGGGCAUCUUAUCACAUUUAAGAGUGGAUUUUAUAUUUUCAGAUAUAUUUAUUUCUUAUUAGAAAAAUAUAUAGAAAUAUUUGUUUGCACUAUAAAGUCAUACUGGGAGAGAGCUUGACUAUUCAACUAGAGUUUUGUUAUGGAUGUAAGAUUUACGAGAAGAGCCAAGAUAGGAAGUCACAGUAGUGGACUUUAAAGGGUGAAAAAAAAUCUAACAUAAGAUCUUUAAGGUAGGUUUUAGACAAUCUCAAGGAAGUAAAAAUGAUACGUGGAACACAAUGGCACUAGAGAUUAUAAAAAUAGAAAACGGAGACAUUGGAAGUGAUAUAUUUAAAACGAUAUGUGAUUGAUUGAUAUCAAAUGAAUUAAGACUUUCACUUAAUUUUCAUUGACUUAAAAAUAUGUAUGAUAGAGUGCAUAAAGAGAUUUUGUGCAAAACCCUGAAAAAAUAAAUGGUUAGAAUUUCCUAUAUCUGAGUUAUCCAGGAUAUGUAUGAGGGGAUCUCGACAGGUGUGAGGAUGCAAGGUAGAUAUACAUCUGAUUGUCUUAUAAUAAUAGGAUUACAACAAGAUUCAACCUUAAACCCUUACAUUUUUAAUUUAAUUUAGGAUAUACUUACAUAACACAUCUAAGAAUUAGCACCAAAAUAUAUGCUUUCUGAAGAUGAUAUAGUUCUACUUGAAGAGUCGAAGAAUGAUUUAAAUGAGACGUUUAAGACUUAUUAAUAUAAAAUCAGCCUCUAAAAUAAAUAUUGUCCUAAUUUAAAAAUUUAUACUAAUACCAUCUCUUUUUUAUCUGAUAAGAGAUCCUUGACUUUAGUUUUAAUCUCAUUUUUCAGUUGCCACAUAUAUUUAGAAUAAUAUAUGUUGAAUGUGAAUAGUUUGGAUAUGCCUGUUUUUAGAAUAACAUUAUUUUAUAUAAUUAUUAAUAUUAACUAGGGUUCUAAAACAUUGAUGUAUUUAAUUCAUUUUUAUUUUUAUUUCACUAUUGUUACAUGUACACCUUUUUUAACAUACACGCAAGGCUUAAUUAACUACUAAAAAAUAUAAUUAAUUUAGUUGAAUAAAAAUAAUUAAUUCAAUUAAUAGUGAUGAAUCAAUUAUCGGACAGAUUUAUAAAAAGUAGAUGUAAUGAAAUAUUUUCCUUUUAAAUUAGAGAUAUCUUAAGGUUUUGAAAGACUUAUAUAUAUUAACUGUGAUUCAAUCAUGAUAAAAAAAAACUCUAUUUAACUAUUAUUUAAUUAUAAUAUAUAUUUUAUGAAAUUUUAUUUAAAUACAAUUUAAUUAUGAUAAAUUUUUAAUCUCGUGCAAUAAUUCAUUUUACAUAUUCUCAAAUACAAUAAAGGUUUUGGAAGAAUUUGUUUUCUAAUGGAAGUAAUCUUUAUUGAUCUUGACAUGUUACCUUUGAUUAUUGGUUCUUCAUAAUAUAUUAUUAUAAUCUAAAAGCUAACAUGCUCUUGACCCAUGGGAAUUCUAAAAUAUACUUUAUUAUUUUCAAGCUUACUAUGCAUUAAAAUAUUUUCAACUAUAUAUAAAAAAAAUAUAAAUAUAUUCACAAGUUUUGUUUUAUUCUUAGAAUAGGAAAAGUAAGAUCCAUUGUAAUAAUUUAUUAUUUCCACCUCAUUAAAAUAUUUGGAAAGCCAUAUCUCAUAGACUAAUUAGUUUUUCAAUAAUUUGAAGAAGGAAUACUCAUCUGGGCUUGUGCAGUGGAGAUAGAACCAUGAUGGGCCUUGGGCCCAAACUCACACUACAAGUUUAAUGAAGUUUUUUUCUCAAAAAAAAAUGUUUCAAUUAAAUGUUGUUCAUCAAUAUGGAGCAACUUCAUACAAAGAAUAUUAUAUGUUGAUGCUCUAUUCAUCUUGGUGUUGCUUCUUCAAGGUAAAUAAUUUUUUAAUACAAAUAUAAUAUUUUUUUUAGAAAUUUAAUAAUGUAAAACACUAUAUUCAUUGUUUCUCAAAAAUAAAUUUUUAUAUAGGUUGUGAUGGAUAAGUGUGGAAGCAUAUAUGAAAUUUUCAUUGAUGGGUUUUAAAUGAGCUUAUGAAUGAAAAAAGUUAUAAUUAUGAAACCAAAAGAGCCUCUUGUACAGGACAAGGAUAUGAACCUAAGAAAUAUGUUUUUUUGGUGAGUUCCUAUGUUCUUGUGCUGUUGCUGAAGAGAGUUCCCCUUGACAACUUCAAUAUUUGCUGAUCAGUACUCAACUUGAUCAUGACGGCUUUAGUUUAUUUUUGUACUUCAUUAUUGUUGUAAUAGCACUUUUAUGAGUUUAUCUUCAUGAACGAUGUUUGGGACAAGAAGAAUGUAAUAAAUUUUAUAUUGAUGUUUAAUUAAUGUAGUGGGAUAUUAUAUACUACUAUAGUAUCUUGGUAGUAAUAAGAUUAUGCUGCAGAUCUUAGAUCUUCAUAAAACUGUUCUUAGUUUGCAAUUGGUUCCCACUUCCUUGUUUUGUC